ACUGUUUAUGCACAACUCAUGAGA
rnacentral:piRNA from 1 species